GACGAACGCUGGCGGCGUGCUUAACACAUGCAAGUCGAACGGAAAGGCCCAGCUUGCUGGGUGCUCGAGUGGCGAACGGGUGAGUAACACGUGGGUGAUCUGCCCUGGACUUUGGGAUAAGCCUGGGAAACUGGGUCUAAUACCGGAUAUGACCUUCGCCUGCAUGGGUGUUGGUGGAAAGCUUUUGCGGUUCAGGAUGGGCCCGCGGCCUAUCAGCUUGUUGGUGGGGUAAUGGCCUACCUAGGCGACGACGGGUAGCCGACCUGAGAGGGUGAUCGGCCACACUGGGACUGAGACACGGCCCAGACUCCUACGGGAGGCAGCAGUGGGGAAUAUUGCACAAUGGGCGCAAGCCUGAUGCAGCGACGCCGCGUGGGGGAUGACGGCCUUCGGGUUGUAAACCUCUUUCGCUAGGGACGAAGCUUUUGGGUGACGGUACCUGGAGAAGAAGCACCGGCCAACUACGUGCCAGCAGCCGCCGUAAUAC
rnacentral:rRNA from 1 species